CAGCAGUCGCCGCGGGAAUACGGAGGGUGCAAGCGUUAUCCGGAUUUAUUGGGCGUAAAGCGUGCGUAGGCGGCUUCUUAAGUCGGAUGUGAAAUCCCUGAGCUUAACUUAGGAAUUGCAUUCGAUACUGGGAAGCUAGAGUAUGGGAGAGGAUGGUAGAAUUCCAGGUGUAGCGGUGAAAUGCGUAGAGAUCUGGAGGAAUACCGAUGGCGAAGGCAGCCAUCUGGCCUAAUACUGACGCUGAGGUACGAAAGCAUGGGGAGCAAACAGGAUUAGAUACCCCUGUAGUCCCUGUCUCUUAUAC
rnacentral:rRNA from 1 species